CGUAGGUGGCAAGCGUUGUCCGGAUUUAUUGGGCGUAAAGCGCGCGCAGGCGGACUGAUUAGUCCGGGGUGAAAUCUCACGGCUCAACCGUGAGCGGUCCCCGGAUACUGUCAGUCUUGAGGGGUCUAGAGGAGAGCGGAAUUCCCGGUGUAGUGGUGGAAUGCGUAGAUAUCGGGAAGAACACCAGUGGCGAAAGCGGCUCUCUGGGGAUCACCUGACGCUGAGGCGCGAAAGCGUGGGGAGCGAACCGGAUUAGAUACCCGGGUAGUCCACGCUGUAAACGAUGAGCACUAGCUGUCGGGGGUAUCGACCCCUCCGGUAGCGCAGCUAACGCGAUAAGUGCUCCGCCUGGGGACUACGGCCGCAAGGCUAA
rnacentral:rRNA from 1 species